ACGGAGGGUGCAAGCGUUAAUCGGAAUUACUGGGCGUAAAGCGCACGCAGGCGGUUUGUUAAGUCAGAUGUGAAAUCCCCGCGCUUAACUGGGGAACUGGCUUUGAAACUUGCAAGCUAGAGGCUUGUAGAGGGGGGUAGAAUUCCAGGGGUAGCGGUGAAAUGCGUAGAGAUCGGGAGGAAUACCGGUGGCGAAGGCGGCCACCUGGACCAAAACUGACGCUCAGGUGCGAAAGCGUGGGGAGCAAACAG
rnacentral:rRNA from 1 species